GGAUGUAAGGUGAUCUGGCUGUGACAUCUGUCACUCUGUGGAUUGCCAGGGUUGACUGGGCUGAUCUGGCUGGCCAGGUGGGUUGUCCCCUUCCCUUCUCACCACUCCAUGUAUGUCCCUCCUGAAGCUUCGAGCUUCAUAGAAGAGGAUAGCCACCUCAGCAGAGGAGGACUGUUCUCUGUCAGGGAUACAAGAGUAGCUGUGCUCUCCAGCUAGAAACUCCAAACAAACUCAAGAUAAAAUUUAAAGAUACAUACACAAAGCAGGGUGAGGGUAAAGCUUGGUGUUAAGAGUGCUUGCCUAGGGGCUGGGGAUUUAGCUCAGCCGAAGGCAGUCAU
rnacentral:snRNA from 1 species